CCAGACUCCUACGGGAGGCAGCAGUGGGGAAUAUUGCACAAUGGGGGAAACCCUGAUGCAGCGACGCCGCGUGAGUGAAGAAGUAUUUCGGUAUGUAAAGCUCUAUCAGCGGGGAAGAAAAUGACGGUACCUGACUAAGAAGCCCCGGCUAACUACGUGCCAGCAGCCGCGGUAAUACGUAGGGGGCAAGCGUUAUCCGGAUUUACUGGGUGUAAAGGGAGCGUAGACGGCAUGGCAAGUCAGAUGUGAAAGCCCGGGGCUCAACCCCGGGACUGCAUUUGAAACUGUCAGGCUGGAGUGCAGGAGAGGUAAGUGGAAUUCCUAGUGUAGCGGUGAAAUGCGUAGAUAUUAGGAGGAACACCAGUGGCGAAGGCGGCCUGCUGGACGACAACUGACGGUGAGGCGCGAAAGCGUGGGGAGCAAACAGGAUUAGAUACCCUUGUAG
rnacentral:rRNA from 1 species